rfam:Gossypium arboreum cultivar AKA8401 contig_12527_1, whole genome shotgun sequence.
UGUUAAAAAUUUCAUCUAUUUAUACUAUUAAAAACUAAUACAGUUGACGGAAUAAUCAAACAAUUACACAUGACAUGCCACAUGUGUCUUAUAUUGUCAUAUAAAGACCAGCUUUUAAUAGAAAUAUUGGAUGAAAUUUUUAACA